GUGGAUUAGAUACCCGGGUAGUCCACGCCGUAAACGAUGAAUACUAGGUGUAGGUGGUAUCGACUCCAUCUGUGCCGACGCAAACGCAUUAAGUAUUCCGCCUGGGGACUACGGCCGCAAGGUUGAAACUCAAAGAAAUUGACGGGGACCCGCACAAGCAGCGGAGCAUGGGGUUUAAUUCGAAGCAACGCGAAAAACCUUACCAGAACUUGACAUCUAGCGAAGAACCUUGUAAUGAGGUUCGCCCUUCGGGGCGCGAAGACAGGUGUUGCACGGCCGUCGCCAGCU
rnacentral:rRNA from 1 species